GUCUACAACCAUGCUACCCUGAACGAGCUUGAUCCCAUCUGAUCUCGGAAGCUAAGCAGGGUUGGGCCUGGUUAGUACUUGGACGGGAGACCACUUAGGAAGACCAGGUGCUGUAGGCG
rfam:Pteropus alecto contig85932, whole genome shotgun sequence.